UCCAAUCGAACUCGGAGAUAGCUGGUUCUCCCCGAAAUAGCUUUAGGGCUAGCGUUGGCUUAGAUUACCGGAGGUAAAGCACUGAAUGGGCUAGGGGCCGAUAAGGUUACUGAACCCUAUCAAACUCUGAAUGCCGGAUAAUUGAUGGCCAGCAGUCAGUCUACGUGAGAUAAGUCUCGUGGACAAAAGGGAAACAGCCCAGACCCACAGCUAAGGUCCCAAAGAUACGCUAAGUGGAAAACGAUGUGGAGUUGCGAAAACAACCAGGAUGUUGGCUUAGAAGCAGCCACUCAUUAAAAGAGUGCGUAAUAGCUCACUGGUCGAGUGACUCUGCGCGGAAAAUAUAACGGGGCUAAGCGUAACACCGAAGCUUGGGCUGCACAGCAAUGUGCGGGGUAGGGGAGCGUCGAAUAUGGGGUGAAGUCGCAGCGGAAGCAGCGGUGGACUGUAUUCGAGUGAGAAUGCCGGAAUGAGUAGCGAGAAUUAUGUGGGAAUCAUAAUGGCCGAAAAUCUAAGGUUUCCUGGGGAAGGUUCGUCCGCCCAGGGUAAGCCGGGAGCUAAGGCGAGGCCGGAAGGCGUAGUCGAUGCACAUACGGUUGAAAUUCCGUAGCCACCGAACCUUAAGUACACUGACACAUGGAGAUAGCGGGACCCGGGCGUUGGUUGACCCGGGCGUAAGGGACCGAACUUUAGUAGGGAAGUCCGCGAUGCUCUGUGGCGAGAAAAGGUGUAUGGUAUGCUAAGGUGCCCGUACCGCAAACCGACACAGGUAGAUGAGGAGAGAAUCCUAAGGCCAACGGGAGAAGGGUUGUUAAGGAACUCGGCAAAAUGACCCCGUAACUUCGGGAUAAGGGGAGCCUCCUACGGGAGGCCGCAGCGAAUAGGCCCAAGCGACUGUUUACCAAAAACACAGGUCUCUGCUAAAUCGAAAGAUGACGUAUAGGGGCUGACGCCUGCCCGGUGCUGGAAGGUUAAGAGGAGAUGUUAGCCGCAAGGCGAAGCAUUGAAUCGAAGCCCCAGUAAACGGCGGCCGUAACUAUAACGGUCCUAAGGUAGCGAAAUUCCUUGUCAGGUAAGUUCUGACCCGCACGAAUGGCGUAACGACUUGGGCGCUGUCUCAACAGCCCACCCGGCGAAAUUGUUGUACUGGUGAAGAAGCCAGUUACCCGCAACUAGACGGAAAGACCCCAUGGAGCUUUACUGUAGCUUAAUACUGGAAAUCGGUAAAUCAUGUACAGGAUAGGUGGGAGACUUGGAAGCCAGGGCGUCAGCUUUGGUGGAGUCACCCUUGGGAUACCACCCUUGAUUUGCUGGUUUUCUAACCUGCGGCCGUGAAUCCGGUCGGGGGACACUGUUAGGUGGGCAGUUUGACUGGGGCGGUCGCCUCCUAAAAGGUAACGGAGGCGCUCAAAGGUUCGUUCAGCACGGACGGAAACCGUGCAGUGAGUGUAAACGCAUAAACGAGCCUAACUGCGAGACCGACGGGUCGAGCAGUAACGAAAGUUGGAGUUAGUGAUCCGGCGGUAUGUGAGUGGAAAUGCCGUCGCUCAACGGAUAAAAGCUACCCUGGGGAUAACAGGCUGAUCUCCCCCAAGAGUCCACAUCGACGGGGAGGUUUGGCAC
rnacentral:rRNA from 1 species